rnacentral:lncRNA from 1 species
CAACCUUUCUUUCUUUCUCUCUAUAGGUGUACUAUGAAAAUCCCACCGCGUGUGGUUUGUUCUUUUGAUAUGAUCAUAUGGUACUGGGACUGAAUGGAUAACUAGAAGCCCAAAAAAAGUGGUGCAGAGAGAGAGAGAGAGAGACGGGGGGGGGGGGGGGGGGGAAGUGGUCUCAUAAAGUCUUCUAUCUUUCAACACUGCAACUGGCAAUUGAUUAAAAGCUAGGUUCUUGAAGCGUCCACCGCUGAAAAUACCAUUUUCAGUUCGAUUUAUUGGUUAAACAUGCCACCAACUCGUUAAACCAUCCACUACCACGAUCGAAUCCUCCAUUAUUUAUAGUUGCAUUGCUUAUAACUUUCUUAUUCAUAAACUGCAGCAUGAAAGAGAUGAUUAUUAGAACUACCAGCCUUGGAAUGGUGAAGGCAAGAAGGAUAGAUGCGACAGCUUUCUUCAUUAUUCUGUGUGUGUUUGGGUUUGUGGGGGUGGGCUAGGCUUGGUGAUUUCACAGAUAAACAGUGACCAAAAACCCUAAUUUUCUAUUUCUGUGAUUUUCUUAAGAGGGUACAAGGGGGGAUUUGAACGUUCUUUCCAAAAAUAGGUUUGUCUUUAGUUUACAGAUCUCACUCCUGUAGGCUGUAGCCUUUAAUGUUUAUGACAAAAGCAAAUCUAUGAACCGUUGGAUAAAGAUAUUUUGGUCAAGAGCUGGAGUUAUGUGGUUAAGUCUGUCUCUGUGUGUGAGAGAGAGAGAGAGAGAGAGAGAGUCAUACUGACAGAAGAGAGUGAGCAUAAGCAGGCAAUUGUAUGGAGAGUAUACAUUUGUGGAUGCGUGUGCUCACUUCUCUUUCUGUCAGCUUAAUUCCCUCUCUUCCUUUCUCGUUUAUGGCUUUUGCUUUUACAUCCCCAACCCCGACGUGUUCGUUCGACUCGCAGGGAUCGAGUCUACACACUAACCCAAGACCUAAAAUUGCUUGCUUUAUUGAAAACUGAAAAGUAAAGCAAGAUGAACAGAAGUGACGGGGCUGCAAUUUCAAGAAGAUGAAGGGACUCGCAAAGAAAGCCAGCCACUUAAAAAAUGACUAUUCAAAGCUAUUCAACCACUACAGCCACACAUAUGCAGCCAUAAAUGCUCCUACCAGCUCAGGCUUCACUGUGUAUCCCAUUAUCCUAUCCUGAUAGGUCACCUGUACAAAUAAACACAAUUUUCUGUUUUACUUUCUUGGUGGAAAAAAUUGACCACUUUCUUCCAGCAGGAGAGGUUCAACCACUUUAGUUUUUGGCAUUUUCUUGAUGUGAUUUUGUUUAUCCACUUAAUUUUUAGCAUUUCUUUGAUCUUAUCCAUCAUAGUGUGAUGGAGAUUGGAAGCUCUCGAAUUUUGAUGUCUCUUCUGAAGAGAAUGAAGUGGGUUUGGAAAGGACCGUAAGGUACUAUUUUGAUUUAACGGAAAAACUUUGUGUUUUCUUGGGGCCAUCAGGCGAUUAAAAUAUAUUUAACCUAAUAUUAUACUGUUUAUCUUGCCAUUUCCUUCCACUAUCUGCAACAAAAAUACAGUGAUUUUGCUGAAAUCUUUCAUAUUCCCUCUGCCUCAACUAAACUCUAGAUCCAACCGGCUGGACCUUUUUCCUUUGUAACUAGCAAAGAAAGGGUCUUGAUCCCGUGAAUUACUUCUGAAGAAUUUAGGAAUCAUCAAAUUUUGUUUCUAAGUGCAAAAACUUGGGUUUUUAUUUCUUCGUGGUCUGAUGUAAAAGUAUGUGGUUCUUUCUAUCCUAUUUCUGGCAGAAAAUUUGAUUCUUUUAUUUAUAUUUUAUGUGAUAUUCUUAAUUUCUUAGACAAUUAACGCAGUUUUAAUUCUAUUUCUAGAUCUUGAACAUCGUAUGGUAAUGUUUACUUUCUAUUGAGUGCAAGGAACUUUGGGUGCUACCUGAACGUGGGAAGGCUUUUGGUUUUCUUCAGCGGGAAGAUACCCAGAGAAUCAUGGGCAUAUGGAGAAGAAAGGGAAUUUUCCAUGUACAGGUUUGGGACUUGCAUCAGUACUAUCUUUAUGAUGAUUUAUAUUUAUCCCUUUUUUAUAAAGUCCUUUGUCGAUUAGUUGUUAAUAUUGCUAUAUAAGCACACGAUAGUGUAAUUCUGUGACAACAGUUACUCCUACUUGCCACAAGAAAUUUGUAGCUUCAAUUGCAGAAAUUAACUUGAUCCAUUCUUAGUUUUCAUGUCAUUGUAUAUUUUCAGAUUCUUGUGAUAUUGUUGAAUUGUGUUUAAUUAUCUCUUGUUUCGGGGCAAAUUAAAUGUUUUUGCUCUAUGAUUUUAACUUAAUUAGGAUAUUUGAAUGUAUAAUUACCUCAUAUAUUGAAGAGUUACCUAGAUUGUUUGCUUGUUUUAUGGAAAACAAUUAGGAUUUAUUUCGAGAAAUUUUCUUGUGUUUGAUUUAUUUCCUUCUAUAACCAUAUGGUUCAAUUAGGUCAUUUCCCAUUUUAUUUUGGUAAUUUUCCAUUUUUGAUAGAGAUUUUGAGCAUAAAUAGACGUAGUUUUUUUAUUUAGAUAAAUUAUUGAAUUGAAUUGAAUUAAGUGCACUGUUGAAUGUUGAUAACAUUCUCUCUGACUUUUCACUUUUCUCUCUCUCUCUUUUCCUCCCAUUUCCUAUCAUUUUCUUGUGUUCUAUAUAGUGCCCCAUCGCGUUACAUCUCGAAAGAAGUUUCUAUAUUAAACGCAUAAUUGAGGUCGUAUGUGUUCUCUCUACUUUGGGAUUAAGAUUUAUGCUUGCUUUCAUGAUAGCUGAUACUUAGUUGAGCACGCAUUUGCAAGAUUUGGUCUGCAGAUUGGAUUGCAUAGUUUUUCCUAUCCUGCAGGAAGAAAAUCUAUUUUAUGUUGGUAAGAGACAUCUGUGUUUUCAGUUUGUUAAUUUUGUUGCAGCAGAUCCUUCAUAUGAUUAUCAAAUUGCUCAUGGACGAAGUUGGGAUGUUUUUGUGGGAACAUCUGCAUCAAGAUCUUUAAGAGGUAAGUGGAUUUCAUAUUCUACAGUUAUAUUUAUGUACCAUAUAUAUUUUGCAUUACCAGGUUAAAGAAAAUGAAGGAGAAAAAUGUUAUCAAAUCAUUAUGAUAUCGCAGCAUCUAACCUUAAGAUGAUUAUUGCUUGAGGUGUAAACCCCAAAGAUUAGAUUUUUCAAGUCAACUUUGAAUAUUGCUUAUUUUUUGGCUGGAG